CGAUGGACCAUCAGACAAGCGAUAGACCGUCAACCAUGACCGUCGCAUCAAGGCAGUGAGCUAGCUUUCUAGAUGAGUACAACGGAGAUUCCGACGGAUCAUCAGACUAGCGACAGACCGUCGCACCCCACCAUCUCACCGAGGUAGUAAGCUCCAGUUCUGUCUUAGUCCAACAGACCAUCGACCCAGCAUGGACCAUCGUACCCCACCGUCGCAUAUCCUGCUUAGUAUUUUUAAGUCAUUUUAACAGGGGUAUUUUUAUCUUUUACCACCCACUUAUAUAUACCCGGUUAUAUCCGACCUCAGCUCAUUUGUUCAUUAUUAUUUCACAACAACAAAAUUCGAGUUUUCUCUCUAAAAUUAAUCCCCAAGAAUAAAAUACAAAUCUUUUUCAAGAACUAAAAGAUUCCAAUCCUUCAAGUUCAAGAACUUCCAGAAACUCAACCCAUGUAUGCAUAAUGUUCAUUCAUGGACUUCUUUCGUCCAUGAAGCCCAGGAAUCUCUUUUCUAAGUUAAAGUUUAUGGAUUUUCUUUAUGAAUUUAAUGAUUGGGCUGCUCUUGUUCAUGUUGACAAUGAGUAAUUGAAUUCUAUUUCAUGUUGGGUAACAAAUUGUAUGUGGAUUUGAUUAGUAUAGAUGUAAUGUCAUGUAAACCUAUGAUUAAACUCUUGAAUGAUGAAAUUACAUUUGAAUCAUGAUGUUUAAUUGUUGUAUAAUGUGUUCUGCACUUACUAUGCCUACCAUGUGUUUGAUUAAAUGCCUAGAUGAAGAAAAUACCCAACUAGCAUGAUAUCAUGAAAUCCCCAUGUAUGUACAAGUUUAUGCCUAUCACCUGUUUGAUGAAAUGCUUCAAUAAAGGAGUUAUGGAUGAUGGUGAUCAUUAUGUGCUCAAGUAAGCCAUACUUUUUUAGUUUCCUUCUAUCGUGUCCUGG
rnacentral:lncRNA from 1 species